rnacentral:rRNA from 1 species
CGGCCCGGCAGCCAAGUUUGGAACUGAUAACCGCUGAAAGCAUCUAAGCGGGAAGCAGGCCCCGAGAUGAGUCAUCCCAGACGAAAGUCUGUAAGGGACGUUGAAGACGACGACGUAGAUAGGCCAGGUGUCGAAGUGCAGUGAUGCAUGAAGCUUGCUGGUACUAAUGAACCGAGAGGCUUGACCAU